rfam:Neotoma lepida isolate 417 scaffold_1, whole genome shotgun sequence.
GGAGAUGUGGCUCAGAGGUUAAGAGCACUGACUGUUCUUCCAGAGGUCCUGAGUUCAAUUCCCAGCAACCACA